rnacentral:misc_RNA from 1 species
AAACCUCGAACCGACGCCUUCGAUCAGUUCGAAGCUCGGUCUCGGAACGGUGGGGGUCUGCGGGCGGCGACGUCGGCUCCCCUGAAAUGCAUCGGCUGUGGGCGCGAGCCCCGCGUGGCACGGCCUCCUCGAUGUCGUAACGAUCGUCGUGGGCUGGAAGCGCGUGGAUCGGCGGUCCCAUGCCUUUCCGACCUUUGCCUCGAA